CCUACGGGAGACAGCAGUGGGGAAUAUUGCACAAUGGGGGAAACCCUGAUGCAGCGACGCCGCGUGGAGGAUGAAGGUUUUCGGAUUGUAAACUUCUAUUAUUAGGGAAGAAAAUGACGGUAUCUGACGAAUAAGCACCGGCUAACUACGUGCCAGCAGCCGCGGUAAUACGUAGGGGGCAAGCGUUACCCGGAUUUACUGGGUGUAAAGGGUGUGUAGGCGGUUUAGUAAGUCAGAUGUGAAAGCCCGUGGCUUAACUCCGGGACUGCAUUUGAAACUGUUACACUAGAGUGCGGGAGAGGUAAGUGGAAUUCCUGGUGUAGCGGUGAAAUGCGUAGAGAUUAGGAGGAACACCAAUGGCGAAGGCGGCUUACUGGACUGUUACUGACGCUGAGGCUCGAAAGCGUGGGGAGCAAACAGGAUUAGAUACCCCAGUAGUC
rnacentral:rRNA from 1 species